UACAGAGGGUGCAAGCGUUGUUCGGAAUUACUGGGCGUAAAGCGCGUGUAGGCGGCGUCGUUAGUCGGAUGUGAAAGCCCUCGGCUCAACCGAGGAAGUGCAUCCGAUACUGCGAUGCUUGAGUGUUGGAGGGGGUGGCGGAAUUCCCGGUGUAGAGGUGAAAUUCGUAGAUAUCGGGAGGAACACCUGUGGCGAAGGCGGCCACCUGGACAACAACUGACGCUGAGACGCGAAAGCGUGGGUAGCAAAACAGG
rnacentral:rRNA from 1 species